rnacentral:lncRNA from 13 species
AUACUCUGAAAUGUGGCUCCAGUAUCUAAUUUGCUAUCUUAUUUGUUCUGACAUAGUGUGACUCUCUUAGGGACAGCUGAUCCAGGACCAGCCCAGAGGGGAACAUUCUCUUUAGAGCAGAGCAUUAGGCUAAAUACUCCCAUCAAUCACUUCCCAUUGGACAGCCCCAGGUCCACUGGUAACAAGAACCCUUUCACCUGUGACUGUGAUGUCAACUCUCCUCUCCCAUCUCAGGAAGAGCAGGAUGCUGAAAGACAGAAGAUGGCAGAGCCUAAUCAUAUCAACCUUGUAUUUACAUCUUAAAAAGCAACAAUAAAUGAAUCUGACCAUUUUUUAUGUGACGG